AUUUAACAGGAUGACUCUGGGCACUGUGUUAACAAGAGACUGAAGGGGACAAGAGUAGAAACGGAUAACCAGUUUGGAGUCUACUGUAGCAAUUCUGGUAACAGAUGAUGACGUCGGCCAGUAACAGCAGAAGUGAAAAUAUGUGGUAGAUUAUGGGUAUAUUGUGAGGGUAAAUCUAUUUGAACUUUUUUAUGGUGUGAGAAGGAAAGAAGAAGCAUGGACGACUCUAAGAAAACUUGAUUUGAUAUGAGCUAAAAGGGGGAAGAAAAGUAAAAAGCAGGUAAAGUUCAGAGACCCGCUCUAGAUGUGAUAAAUUAAAUGUACCCAUGAAACUCCAAGGGCAGAUGUCAAGAGAGCAGUUGCAUGUAUGUGUCUGGAUUUCACGAGAAAGAUCCAGAUUGAUAAUCAUUAAUGAGUUAUUAAGACUUAAAACCAAGAGAUUCAAUAAGAUUACCAAGGAAAUGAGUGCAACUAGAGAAAAGAAGAAGAUCAUUUACUGAGACGAGGAACACUCCAAUAUUAAAACGAGGGAGGUAGAGUGGAAUCAGUAAAGACUAAGGAAUGGUCAAUAAGGAGGAUGAAAACCAGUAGAGAGUGGUGUCUUGAAAGCCCAGUGAAAAAAGCACUUCAAAAAGAAAGGAAAUAUGUGAUUUAUCAGGUUGAAUGCUGCUGAAAGGACAAAUAAAAUGAGGAUUGAGAAUUUGACCUUUGGAUUUAGUAACUUGAAAUCAUUGUUGACAAGAGCAUCUUUACUAAAAUGAUAGAAACAAAGACACAAUUUGAGUGGGUUUAAAAGAGAAUGAGAAAGGAGGAACUAGAAGUGACUAUAUGCCAUAUUUUUUAGGGGUUUUGUGGUAGAGGAGAGCAAAGAAAUGGAGUGAUAGGCUACAGGGAAAAAUAGGGUAAAGAGAGGGUUUAUUUGAGAUUAUUAAAAUAAUAGCAUAUAAGUAGAUGAAUGAAAAUAAUUCAACUGGAGAAAAAAAUUGAUGAUGCAAGAGAGGAGCAUUUCUGGAGUAAUAUUCCUGAGAAUGUGAGAAGGCUGGAAUCUGAUAAACAAUUGAAGAGGCUGUCCUUACUAGGAACACGGACACCUCAUCUACAGCAAGAGGAAAAUACAGAUAUUUUGCCCUUUUGGAAACUGAAGAUAAAACAGAAAAAGAAAAGAAUUUUAAGAUAUGUUAAUCUAGCAAAACUAACAUAAGAAUGGCCACCGUGAAUUUCAUGAAAUUUUGCCACAGAGCAAUACUAAAAACUGAAUGAUUAUGCCUUUUUCCAUAUUUUAAUUAAAACUGAAAUGAAAAUACUCACUGUUGGAAAGUAAAGAAAUUAAGCCAUA
rnacentral:lncRNA from 1 species